rnacentral:rRNA from 1 species
UACGUAGGGUGCGAGCGUUGUCCGGAUUUAUUGGGCGUAAAGAGCUCGUAGGCGGUUUGUCGCGUCGGCCGUGAAAUCUCCACGCUUAACGUGGAGCGUGCGGUCGAUACGGGCAGACUUGAGUUCGGUAGGGGAGACUGGAAUUCCUGGUGUAGCGGUGAAAUGCGCAGAUAUCAGGAGGAACACCGGUGGCGAAGGCGGGUCUCUGGGCAGUAACUGACACUGAGGAGCGAAAGCGUGGGGAGCGAACAGG